UGGAAAAGAAUAAGUGGAGAAGAGGGAGAGCUCUGCCACCACUUAGACUUUCAGCAGAUGUUAAUAAAUGACUGUACACGGCACGCACGGUUGAAGGAUUCACUUCAGAAAACGUUGAAAAAAGACUUUAUGCUAACGCAACUAUUGUUUGUAUUUCCAUGUCCUGGGAUCCAAAAGGAAUUCGUGUUUGCAGAGAUUGUUUUUCGUGUGCUUUGCAUUUGUGUGGACUUACGCCUAUUGAAGCUCUUUCAUAUAUGAAUGAAUUCUUUUCUGCCUGAGCAGAUCACAAAUGUAUAAUCUCCAUUGUGGGGCUGGAGGAGAAGUAAAGGCAAUGGGGGAAUUGUGUGGCUGCCCAACCCUGAUACCUGCAGGCCAGGGUGGUGAUGGUUGAGACAGGGCAGGAGGAUGUUCAGUGAUAGACAAUAAACACUCUGAAGAGUUCAUAGUGUUAAAAAUGAGGCAAAUGCAGGGGAAAUAGAAGAAAUUCACUCCAAGUGAUGCAACAGAUUCUGGUGGACCUACAAGAAAGGUCCCAAGAUAAUCAAAUGUUACAAAGCACAAGACCUCUGUAGAUCACAAUGCCUUUUCAGCAUCAAAUUCAUAAGCUACCACUGAUCUA
ensembl:lncRNA